UGAGUAUCCUGCUCAUGAAUAUUAAAUAGCCGCGGAAAUUUAACCGUGCUAAGGUAGCAUAAUCAUUAGCCUCUUAAUUAGAGGCUUGUAUGAAUGGUAAAACAUUUCAAUUUCUUUAUUAAUUAAUUAUUUUCAAAUUUAAAUUAAGAAUAAAAAUGUUCUUAUAUUAAAAUUAGACAACAAGACCCUUUUGAACUUUACUUUUGUUAGGCUGGGGCAGCUCAAAAAUAAUAAUUUUUUUUUAAUUCUUUUUAUAAAUGAUCCAAUAAAAUUGAUUACAUGAACUAAGUUACCAUAGGGAUAACAGCGUAAUAUUUUUUAAAAGCUCUUAUAAAAAAAAGUGAUUACGACCUCGAUGUUGAAUUAAUGUAACUUUACAAAUGCAAUAAUUUUAAAAGUAGGUCUGUUCGACCAUUAAAACAUU
rnacentral:rRNA from 1 species